CCCUGCAUUCCGCCCGCCCCUCCCCGCCGGCCCCUGUCCCCUCCCUCCGCCCCGCCGCCGGGAGGGGGCUGGAGCCGGGUCCGGCGCCCGGGGAAGCAGAGGAGGAGAGGCGGGCGGUGGGGAGGGAGCUGCGCCGGCUUCUCCUGCGGGCAGCGCCAGGGGGAAUCGGGGUGGGAAGGGGGGCAAGGAGGACGAGGCAGCAGAGGAGGCGGGCGGCGCAGAGAGGGAGUCCCGGAGCCGGCCCUCCCCGCCGCGGCGGAGGGCGGACCACGAUGCCCAGCCGGGGGGCGCUGCCCGCCCGCCCGCCCGGACACCGCCGCCCGUAGCGGGGCCGCCGCAGCGCGGGGAUAUAAAGUUUUGAACAGUGCCUCCCCAAAAAGUGUGAUGAGAAAUGGCUUUAGGAAACAAUACCCAGAGAAGUUAUUCCAUCAUCCCCUGCUUCAUCUUUGUUGAGCUUGUCAUCAUGGCUGGGACUGUUCUGCUCGCCUACUACUUUGAGUACACCGACACUUUUCAGGUGCAUAUCCAAGGUUUCUUUUGUCAGGAUGGCAGUUUGAUGAAACCCUACCCUGGGACAGAAGAUGAGAGCUUCAUUUCGCCUCUUGUGCUGUACUGUGUGCUGGCUUCAACUCCGACAGCUAUUGUGAGUAUAAGGAAUUAUU